GCCCCAGUAGCUCAGGGGAUAGAGCGUCCGCCUCCUAAGCGGUAGGUCGCAGGUUCGAAUCCUGCCUGGGGCG
rnacentral:tRNA from 2 species